CCUACGGGACGCACCAGUGGGGAAUAUUGCACAAUGGGCGCAAGCCUGAUGCAGCCAUGCCGCGUGUAUGAAGAAGGCCUUCGGGUUGUAAAGUACUUUCAGCGAGGAGGAAAGCAUUAAGGUUAAUAACCUUGGUGAUUGACGUUACUCGCAGAAGAAGCACCGGCUAACUCCGUGCCAGCAGCCGCGGUAAUACGGAGGGUGCAAGCGUUAAUCGGAAUUACUGGGUGUAAAGCGCACGCAGGCGGUCUGUCAAGUCGGAUGUGAAAUCCCCGGGCUCAACCUGGGAACUGCAUUCGAAACUGGCAGGCUAGAGUCUUGUAGAGGGGGGUAGAAUUCAGGGUGUAGCGGUGAAAUGCGUAGAGAUCUGGAGGAAUACCGGUGGCGAAGGCGGCCCCCUGGACAAAGGCUGACGCUCAGGUGCGAAAGCGUGGGGAGCAAACAGGAUUAGAUACCCGAGUAGUC
rnacentral:rRNA from 1 species